GAUGAACGCUGGCGGCGUGCCUAAUACAUGCAAGUCGAGCGAACGGACGAGAAGCUUGCUUCUCUGAUGUUAGCGGUGGACGGGUGAGUAACACGUGGAUAACCUACCUAUAAGACUGGGAUAACUUCGGGAAACCGUAGCUAAUACCGGAUAAUAUUUUGAACCGCAUGGUUCAAAAGUGAAAGACGGUCUUGCUGUCACUUAUAGAUGGAUCCGCGCUGCAUUAGCUAGUUGGUAAGGUAACGGCUUACCAAGGCAACGAUGCAUAGCCGACCUGAGAGGGGGAUCGGCCACACUGGAACUGAGACACGGUCCAGACUCCUACGGGAGGCAGCAGUAGGGAAUCUUCCGCAAUGGGCGAAAGCCUGACGGAGCAACGCCGCGUGAGUGAUGAAGGUCUUCGGAUCGUAAAACUCUGUUAUUAGGGAAGAACAUAUGUGUAAGUAACUGUGCACAUCUUGACGGUACCUAAUCAGAAAGCCACGGCUAACUACGUG
rnacentral:rRNA from 1 species